rnacentral:rRNA from 1 species
GCGAAAACUUUACAAUGCUGGCAACAGCGAUAAGGGAACCUCGAGUGCCAGGUUACAAAUCUGGCUGUCGAGAUGCCUAAAAAGCAUUUCAUAGCAAGGGCCGGGCAAGACCGGUGCCAGCCGCCGCGGUAACACCGGCGGCUCGAGUGGUAACCGUUAUUAUUGGGUCUAAAGGGUCUGUAGCCGGCCGGAUAAGUCUCUUGAGAAAUCUGGCAGCUUAACUGUCAGGCUUUCAGGAGAUACUGUCUGGCUCGAGGCCGGGAGAGGUGAGAGGUACUUCAGGGGUAGGGGUGAAAUCUUGUAAUCCUUGAAGGACCACCAGGGGCGAAGGCGUCUCACCAGAACGGACCUGACGGCAAGGGACGAAAGCUAGGGUCACGAACC